rnacentral:rRNA from 1 species
GCUACGGGUGGCAGCAGUGAGGAAUAUUGGUCAAUGGACGAGAGUCUGAACCAGCCAAGUAGCGUGAAGGAUGACUGCCCUAUGGGUUGUAAACUUCUUUUAUAAAGGAAUAAAACGAGGCACGUGUGCCUUUUUGCAUGUACUUUAUGAAUAAGGAUCGGCUAACUCCGUGCCAGCAGCCGCGGUAAUACGGAGGAUCCGAGCGUUAUCCGGAUUUAUUGGGUUUAAAGGGUGCGCAGGCGGAGGCACAAGUCAGCGGUAAAAUCGCGGGGCUCAACCCCGCUCCGCCGUUGAAACUGUGUCCCUGGAGUGCGCGAAGGGUAGGCGGAAUGCGUGGUGUAGCGGUGAAAUGCAUAGAUAUCACGCAGAACUCCGAUCGCGAAGGCAGCCUACCGGCGCGCAACUGACGCUCAUGCACGAAAGCGUGGGUAUCGAACAGGAUUAGAUACCCUUGUAGUC